UACGGAGGGUGCAAGCGUUAUCCGGAUUCACUGGGUUUAAAGGGUGCGUAGGCGGGCAGGUAAGUCAGUGGUGAAAUCUCCGGGCUUAACCCGGAAACUGCCGUUGAUACUAUCUGUCUUGAAUAUCGUGGAGGUAAGCGGAAUAUGUCAUGUAGCGGUGAAAUGCUUAGAUAUGUCAUAGAACACCGAUUGCGAAGGCAGCUUGCUGGGCUUAGAUUGACGCUGAGGCACGAAAGCGUGGGGAGCAAACAGG
rnacentral:rRNA from 1 species